AAGCUUGCUUCUUUGCUGACGAGCGGCGGACGGGUGAGUAUAACUUGGGAACUUGCCUUUAGGAGGGGGACAACCACGGGAAACUGUGGCUAAUACCGCAUAAUGUCUUCGGACCAAAGUAGGGGAUCUUCGGACCUUACGCCUAAAGAUAGGCCCAAGCGAGAUUAGCUAGUUGGUGAGGUAAAGGCUCACCAAGGCGACGAUCUCUAGCUGUUCUGAGAGGAUGAUCAGCCACACUGGGACUGAGACACGGCCCAGACUCCUACGGGAGGCAGCAGUGGGGAAUAUUGCACAAUGGGGGAAACCCUGAUGCAGCCAUGCCGCGUGUGUGAAGAAGGCCUUCGGGUUGUAAAGCACUUUCAGUGGUGAGGAAGGCCAUACACCUAAUACGUGUGUGGAUUGACGUUAGCCACAGAAGAAGCACCGGCUAACUCCGUGCCAGCAGCCGCGGGUAAUACGGAGGGUGCAAGCGUUAAUCGGAAUUACUGGGCGUAAAGCGUACGUAGGCGGCUUGUUAAGC
rnacentral:rRNA from 2 species